CUCAGAAUCAGCUACAGCACAUUUAUCAAGUUGAACUGGCUUCUGAAGCGGAAACUGCGGCUUAGGUUGUUGUGGAACUGGCUUCUGAAGAGGGAACUGCGGCUUAGGUUGUUGUGGAACUGGCUUCUGAAGCGGAAACUGCGGCUUAGGUUGUUGUGGAACUGGCUUCUGAAACGGAAACUGCGGCUUAGGUUGUUGUGGAACUGGCUUCUGAAACGGAAACUGCGGCUUAGGUUGUUGUGGAACUGGCUUCUGAAGCGGAAACUGCGGCUUAGGUUGUUGUGGAACUGGCUUCUGAAGCGGAAACUGCGGCUUAGGUUGUUGUGGAACUGGCUUCUGAAACGGAAACUGCGGCUUAGGUUGUUGUGGAACUGGCUUCUGAAACGGAAACUGCGGCUUAGGUUGUUGUGGAACUGGCUUCUGAAACGGAAACUGCGGCUUAGGUUGUUGUGGAACUGGCUUCUGAAACAGAAACUGCUGGUUAGUUAGCUGUUGAACUGGUUUCUGAGGUGGAAACUGCUGGUUAGUUAGCUGUUGAACUGGCUUCUGGAGCUGAAACUGCUGGUCAGUUUGCUGGAUCAUCAGAGCUUGAGCAUUCUGAAGCGAUUGACUCCACUGUGGGACAGCAUGACAGAAAGCACAGACCACCAAAAUC